CGGCUGCGGAAAUUUCUCGGGUUUUGUACGGGUCUUCAACAGGCACAGACCUCCUAGUUGCCCAGAAUAUCCAGGUCUGAUUCAUGGAGCCGGAGAGUAUGUUUACUAGAACACCCCAGGCCCACACAUGCGGCUGUGUGUUGGAAGUCCCAAAGAACUAUACAUCAUACCCAGGGUUGGCUGAAGAGUUCAUUAAUGUUCUUGAUGCAAACAUGUGGGUCAUGGACAUUAUUUAGUGGUAAGUGACUGGUGCGAGUUUAAGUCAAAAUUACAUUUUGUGAAUUUGAUUGGGAAACCCAUCUGCUUGUGGCCAGCUUUGUAGAGAGAUAGAGGGGAUAUCAGGAUAAAACAUAUUGUCAUACAUGCGGCAUAUAUAGAUGACAUGCAUG
ensembl:lncRNA